rnacentral:rRNA from 1 species
GGGCCCGCACAAGCGGUGGAGUAUGUGGUUUAAUUCGAUGCAACGCGAAGAACCUUACCUAGGUUUGACAUCCCUCGAACCCUCCUGAAAGGGAGGGGUGCCCUUCGGGGAGCGGGGUGACAGGUGCUGCAUGGCUGUCGUCAGCUCGUGCCGUGAGGUGUUGGGUUAAGUCCCGCAACGAGCGCAACCCUUGUCCUUAGUUGCCAGCAGGUAAGGCUGGGCACUCUAGGGAGACCGCCUCGGUCAACGGGGAGGAAGGUGGGGACGACGUCAAGUCAUCAUGGCCCUUACGCCUAGGGCUACACACGUACUACAAUGGCGGAUACAAAGGGUAGCGAAGCCGCAAGGUGAAGCCAAUCUCAAAAAAUCCGUCCCAGUCCGGAUCGGGGUCUGCAACUCGACCCCGUGAAGUCGGAAUCGCUAGUAAUCGGAGAUCAGCAUGCUCCGGUGAAUACGUUCCCGGGCCUU